AGCGUACACGGUGGAUGCCCUGGCAGUCAGAGGCGAUGAAGGACGUGCUAAUCUGCGAUAAGCGUCGGUAAGGUGAUAUGAACCGUUAUAACCGGCGAUUUCCGAAUGGGGAAACCCAGUGUGAUUCGUCACACUAUCAUUAACUGAAUCCAUAGGUUAAUGAGGCGAACCGGGGGAACUGAAACAUCUAAGUACCCCGAGGAAAAGAAAUCAACCGAGAUUCCCCCAGUAGCGGCGAGCGAACGGGGAGCAGCCCAGAGCCUGAAUCAGUGUGUGUGUUAGUGGAAGCGUCUGGAAAGGCGCGCGAUACAGGGUGACAGCCCCGUACACAAAAAUGCACAUACUGUGAGCUCGAUGAGUAGGGCGGGACACGUGGUAUCCUGUCUGAAUAUGGGGGGACCAUCCUCCAAGGCUAAAUACUCCUGACUGACCGAUAGUGAACCAGUACCGUGAGGGAAAGGCGAAAAGAACCCCGGCGAGGGGAGUGAAAAAGAACCUGAAACCGUGUACGUACAAGCAGUGGGAGCACAGAGCAAUCUGUGUGACUGCGUACCUUUUGUAUAAUGGGUCAGCGACUUAUAUUCUGUAGCAAGGUUAACCGAAUAGGGGAGCCGAAGGGAAACCGAGUCUUAACUGGGCGUUAAGUUGCAGGGUAUAGACCCGAAACCCGGUGAUCUAGCCAUGGGCAGGUUGAAGGUUGGGUAACACUAACUGGAGGACCGAACCGACUAAUGUUGAAAAAUUAGCGGAUGACUUGUGGCUGGGGGUGAAAGGCCAAUCAAACCGGGAGAUAGCUGGUUCUCCCCGAAAGCUAUUUAGGUAGCGCCUCGUGAAUUCAUCUCCGGGGGUAGAGCACUGUUUCGGCAAGGGGGUCAUCCCGACUUACCAACCCGAUGCAAACUGCGAAUACCGGAGAAUGUUAUCACGGGAGACACACGGCGGGUGCUAACGUCCGUCGUGAAGAGGGAAACAACCCAGACCGCCAGCUAAGGUCCCAAAGUCAUGGUUAAGUGGGAAACGAUGUGGGAAGGCCCAGACAGCCAGGAUGUUGGCUUAGAAGCAGCCAUCAUUUAAAGAAAGCGUAAUAGCUCACUGGUCGAGUCGGCCUGCGCGGAAGAUGUAACGGGGCUAAACCAUGCACCGAAGCUGCGGCAGCGACGCUGAUGCGUUGUUGGGUAGGGGAGCGUUCUGUAAGCCUGUGAAGGUGUGCUGUGAGGCAUGCUGGAGGUAUCAGAAGUGCGAAUGCUGACAUAAGUAACGAUAAAGCGGGUGAAAAGCCCGCUCGCCGGAAGACCAAGGGUUCCUGUCCAACGUUAAUCGGGGCAGGGUGAGUCGACCCCUAAGGCGAGGCCGAAAGGCGUAGUCGAUGGGAAACAGGUUAAUAUUCCUGUACUUGGUGUUACUGCGAAGGGGGGACGGAGAAGGCUAUGUUGGCCGGGCGACGGUUGUCCCGGUUUAAGCGUGUAGGCUGGUUUUCCAGGCAAAUCCGGAAAAUCAAGGCUGAGGCGUGAUGACGAGGCACUACGGUGCUGAAGCAACAAAUGCCCUGCUUCCAGGAAAAGCCUCUAAGCAUCAGGUAACAUCAAAUCGUACCCCAAACCGACACAGGUGGUCAGGUAGAGAAUACCAAGGCGCUUGAGAGAACUCGGGUGAAGGAACUAGGCAAAAUGGUGCCGUAACUUCGGGAGAAGGCACGCUGAUAUGUAGGUGAAGUCCCUCGCGGAUGGAGCUGAAAUCAGUCGAAGAUACCAGCUGGCUGCAACUGUUUAUUAAAAACACAGCACUGUGCAAACACGAAAGUGGACGUAUACGGUGUGACGCCUGCCCGGUGCCGGAAGGUUAAUUGAUGGGGUCAGCGCAAGCGAAGCUCUUGAUCGAAGCCCCGGUAAACGGCGGCCGUAACUAUAACGGUCCUAAGGUAGCGAAAUUCCUUGUCGGGUAAGUUCCGACCUGCACGAAUGGCGUAAUGAUGGCCAGGCUGUCUCCACCCGAGACUCAGUGAAAUUGAACUCGCUGUGAAGAUGCAGUGUACCCGCGGCAAGACGGAAAGACCCCGUGAACCUUUACUAUAGCUUGACACUGAACAUUGAGCCUUGAUGUGUAGGAUAGGUGGGAGGCUUUGAAGUGUGGACGCCAGUCUGCAUGGAGCCGACCUUGAAAUACCACCCUUUAAUGUUUGAUGUUCUAACGUUGACCCGUAAUCCGGGUUGCGGACAGUGUCUGGUGGGUAGUUUGACUGGGGCGGUCUCCUCCUAAAGAGUAACGGAGGAGCACGAAGGUUGGCUAAUCCUGGUCGGACAUCAGGAGGUUAGUGCAAUGGCAUAAGCCAGCUUGACUGCGAGCGUGACGGCGCGAGCAGGUGCGAAAGCAGGUCAUAGUGAUCCGGUGGUUCUGAAUGGAAGGGCCAUCGCUCAACGGAUAAAAGGUACUCCGGGGAUAACAGGCUGAUACCGCCCAAGAGUUCAUAUCGACGGCGGUGUUUGGCACCUCGAUGUCGGCUCAUCACAUCCUGGGGCUGAAGUAGGUCCCAAGGGUAUGGCUGUUCGCCAUUUAAAGUGGUACGCGAGCUGGGUUUAGAACGUCGUGAGACAGUUCGGUCCCUAUCUGCCGUGGGCGCUGGAGAAUUGAGGGGGGCUGCUCCUAGUACGAGAGGACCGGAGUGGACGCAUCACUGGUGUUCGGGUUGUCAUGCCAAUGGCACUGCCCGGUAGCUAAAUGCGGAAGAGAUAAGUGCUGAAAGCAUCUAAGCACGAAACUUGCCCCGAGAUGAGUUCUCCCUGACUCCUUGA
rnacentral:rRNA from 1 species